rnacentral:rRNA from 1 species
UGCAGUCGAACGGUGAUAGCAAUAUCAUAGUGGCGCACGGGUGCGUAACACGUAUGCAACCUACCUAUUAUUGGGGGAUAGCCUUUGGAAACGGAGAUUAAUACCGCAUAAUACGAUUGACUGGCAUCGGUUGAUUGUUAAAGCUUCGGCGAUAAUAGAUGGGCAUGCGUCCAAUUAGUUAGUUGGUUAGGUAACGGCUGACCAAGACGAUGAUUGGUAGGGGAUCUGAGAGGAUAAUCCCCCACACUGGCACUGAGAUACGGGCCAGACUCCUACGGGAGGCAGCAGUAGGGAAUAUUGGGCAAUGGGCGGAAGCCUGACCCAGCCAUGCCGCGUGCAGGAAGAAGGCGUUAUGCGUUGUAAACUGCUUUUUUAUAGGAAGAAGGAUCCCUUGCGAGGGAAGGUGACGGUACUAUAAGAAUAAGCACCGGCUAACUCCGUGCCAGCAGCCGCGGUAAUACGGAGGGUGCAAGCGUUGUCCGGAUUUAUUGGGUUUAAAGGGUGCGUAGGCGGUUUAUUAAGUCGGUGGUGAAAGACGGUCGCUCAACGAUUGCAGUGCCAUUGAUACUGGUAGACUUGAGUGAGAUUGAGGUAGCUGGAAUGGAUAGUGUAGCGGUGAAAUGCAUAGAUAUUAUCCAGAACACCGAUUGCGA